UACGUAGGAGGCAAGCGUUGUCCGGAAUCACUGGGCGUAAAGCGCGUGUAGGCGGAGGGCUAAGUCUGUGGUAAAGCGCCUGGCUUAACCGGGCGAGGUCCAUGGAAACUAGUCUUCUCGAGGCCGGUAGAGGGGGGUGGAAUUCCGGGUGUAGUGGUGAAAUGCGUAGAGAUCCGGAGGAACACCAGUGGCGCAGGCGGCCCCCUGGGCCGCGCCUGACGCUGAGACGCGAAAGCGCGGGGAGCGAACGGG
rnacentral:rRNA from 1 species